GUAAAGAAGUGCUAGGAACCAUUUAGUAUUAAUUUGCGACGCGUUGCAAAAUAUCGAAUGUCUCUUGUGUGAAUAUGAUGCGCUUGUGUCUAUCACGUUGCGAAACAAUGACUUACAUCACAUUUACACACACUAUGUAUAAAUAAAAUGUGUAACAGUGUGAAAUCUGCGUCUGCAAAAAUAGAUGCGUGUACAUAUAUGCAUUCCCGAUGAAUAAGGAAAAGGCAAAAAAGAUGUAGAGCUAGCACGUGCGUGUUUACGACUUUACAACAAGGAAUUGCAUCAAUUGAUUGUGUGAAAACCCGCAAUAAAAGAAUAAGGAAAUCCAUCGCUAACAGCUGCGUUGAUUAUUCGCUAAUUUCGAGUAGGUAAGCAUUUCCCCGGAGAUUACAUCUGUUGGAUGGCUUGUAGGAAAUUCAUCAAGGUGUACGAACGUUCCGACGCCUACAUCUACUUAUCUCAUUCGCGAGCUGUUCAUUCAGUGCAUACAGCCCCCACAUCUGGCAUAUAUCAUAUCGCGAAUUAAUACCUACACAAUCAAAUGCGUGACGUCCUCUCUAUCCCACACUCAUUUCUUGCUACAUACCGAUACUUCUUCCUCUACAUCCUUCGUGCAGACGUAGUAUACUAAUUAAGCACAUCAUAAAUGCUGUAACUAAUUUGCUAUAUUUUCUAAGGCACUUUCUCUCUGUGUCAUAUUAUAUUUGUAAA